rnacentral:tRNA from 1 species
GCCUGGUUGGCUCAGAAGGUAGAGCAUGCGACUCUUGAUCUUGGGGUUGUGAGUUUGAGUCCCACAGUGGGUG